rnacentral:pre_miRNA from 1 species
AGAGGGAUAGCUGGGUCAAAUGUUGGCUUCAUUCCCAUAUUUCCAAGGAAUCUCCAUACUGCUUUCCAUAUUGGCUGCACCAAUUUGCAGUCCCACCAGCAAU